UCCAUAGUAGACAGUUCUCCA
rnacentral:miRNA from 17 species